rnacentral:lncRNA from 1 species
UUAAACUUAAACAUAUAUUUUAUAAAAAAAUUUAAAGGCCAAUUUUUAGUUUUGCUUUUAACCUGACAAAUCUCAGAACUAGGUUUUGUCUAGAUACUUUUUUUUUUUUGUUUGUCAACGAGUUCAUUACUCAAAGACCCAAAAAAGGCAAUUACAGAAAGUUUUUAGAAACCUAGAACAUACCCAAUACAAUUUGAGAUCAACACAAAGAAAAGAUGGAACGCGUCGAAACAUGUGUUGAUAAAAAAAAAGAAAAAUAGAGCAUAUAUCAUCUGAGGAGAAAAAACGCUGCAUCACCAUCAAAAUCUCUGCAACAGUGGUCUUUUUGUCGACGGUCUUCUCACCGUCAAAUCACCAACAAAUCUCCGGUGCCACCUAAAGACUUCAUCAGAAACACUUCUGUUUCUUCCCUCUCCUUUAAUGACUCCUCCAAUUUGAAUCUGUAUGAGGAUUGGCACAAAUCUUCGAUUAAUCACUGCUGAUUAUCUUUGACUCAAGACUAAUAACCCAAUGCCGUCAAUGCUUUUGAAGGGAUUUAGAGAGAUAUCUCUCAGUCAAGAUAGGACGAUGCCCAAAGUCGAAGAAGAAAUCUCAACACAAGCCACCUGAUCCGAUCACCACCGCCUCACUGUAAGAGGACUAAAUUGCAGAGGAGAAAUGGGCGAGAAGACAUCCGUACAUAUCUGGAAACCCUUUACUUUACCAUAAAAUCCAUGAUUCUUCUAACAAGAGUAAAUCCUUCACUCCACUAAGGACUAGUGAUGGAUUUUACAAGUUCAAAUAGAAAGAAACAACAAAUAAGAUCAGCAAAAGAAAUCCGAAAGCUGGAAAACCAAAAUCUGAAUAAGUCGGAAACAUAUUACCGAUUGAAACCGGAGAUUAUUGUUCGAUGUUAAUCGAAAUAUAAACAAAAAAAGAGAAAAAGUGCUUCCUCGCUCUCAAAGAUAGAGAUGAGAGAAGAGAGAGGAAGGAAAAGAAACUCCCUUCCUGACUAGAUACAAUACUUGGAACUCAAUUGCUGGAGCAUUUGAAGCUCUUGCGAAAGAAAGAAGAAAAAAAUGCAUAGUUUUAUCUCUUUUUCCAGAUUUUUCCAGAUUUUCCGUGUGACUGCUUCCAUCCACAAACUCUGACAGAAGCUGGAUAUUCUACAAACAAAACCAAGGGUGAUUCCGUCCAUACCGGGGUUCAACAAUAACUAAAGUGCUAUAUUUGCAAGACACUUUAGAAAACUGACAAAAUAAAAAUGUGCCAAUUUCUGCAAACCACCUUAUCAAAC